AGCGAACGCUGGCGGCAGGCCUAACACAUGCAAGUCGAACGGAUCCUUCGGGAUUAGUGGCGGACGGGUGAGUAACACGUGGGAACGUGCCCUUUGGUUCGGAACAACUCAGGGAAACUUGAGCUAAUACCGGAUGUGCCCUUCGGGGGAAAGAAUUAUCGCCAUUGGAGCGGCCCGCGUCUGAUUAGCUAGUUGGUGGGGUAAAGGCCCACCAAGGCGACGAUCAGUAGCUGGUCUGAGAGGAUGAUCAGCCACAUUGGGACUGAGACACGGCCCAAACUCCUACGGGACGCAGCAGUGGGGAAUCUUGCGCAAUGGGCGAAAGCCUGACGCAGCCAUGCCGCGUGAAUGAUGAAGGUCUUAGGAUUGUAAAAUUCUUUCACCGGGGACGAUAAUGACGGUACCCGGAGAAGAAGCCCCGGCUAACUUCGUGCCAGCCGCCGCGGUAACAC
rnacentral:rRNA from 1 species